GUCCCUGUAGCACAAUGGAUAGCGCGUUGGACCUCUAAUCCAAAGAUUGUGGGCUCGAAUCACACCUGGGAUA
rnacentral:tRNA from 1 species